rnacentral:rRNA from 1 species
UACGGAGGGUGCAAGCGUUAUCCGGAUUCACUGGGUUUAAAGGGUGCGUAGGUGGGCAGGUAAGUCAGUGGUGAAAUCUCCGAGCUUAACUCGGAAACUGCCGUUGAUACUAUUGUCUUGAAUAUUGUGGAGGUAAGCGGAAUAUGUCAUGUAGCGGUGAAAUGCUUAGAUAUGACAUAGAACACCAAUUGCGAAGGCAGCUUACUACACAACGAUUGACGCUGAGGCACGAAAGCGUGGGGAUCAAACAGG